AGAGUUUGAUUAUGGCUCAGGAUGAACGCUGACAGAAUGCUUAACACAUGCAAGUCUACUUGAUCCUUCGGGUGAUGGUGGCGGACGGGUGAGUAACGCGUAAAGAACUUGCCUUGCAGUCUGGGACAACGUCUGGAAACGGACGCUAAUACCGGAUAUUAUGAUUGAAUCGCAUGAUUUGAUUAUGAAAGCUAUAUGCGCUGCGAGAGAGCUUUGCGUCCCAUUAGUUAGUUGGUGAGGUAACGGCUCACCAAGACGAUGAUGGGUAGCCGGCCUGAGAGGGUGAACGGCCACAAGGGGACUGAGACACGGCCCUU
rnacentral:rRNA from 1 species